GAUGAACGCUGGCGGCGUGCCUAAUACAUGCAAGUCGAGCGAAUGGAUUAAGAGCUUGCUCUUAUGAAGUUAGCGGCGGACGGGUGAGUAACACGUGGGUAACCUGCCCAUAAGACUGGGAUAACUCCGGGAAACCGGGGCUAAUACCGGAUAACAUUUUGAACCGCAUGGUUCGAAAUUGAAAGGCGGCUUCGGCUGUCACUUAUGGAUGGACCCGCGUCGCAUUAGCUAGUUGGUGAGGUGAUGGCUCACCAAGGCAACGAUGCGUAGCCGACCUGGGAGGGUGAUCGGCCACACUGGGACUGAGACACGGCCCAGACUCCUACGGGAGGCAGCAGUAGGGAAUCUUCCGCAAUGGACGAAAGUCUGACGGAGCAACGCCGCGUGAGUGAUGAAGGCUUUCGGGUCGUAAAACUCUGUUGUUAGGGAAGAACAAGUGCUAGUUGAAUAAGCUGGCACCUUGACGGUACCUAACCAGAAAGCCACGGCUAACUACAUGCCAGCCGCCGCGGUAA
rnacentral:rRNA from 1 species